rnacentral:misc_RNA from 1 species
GAUGAAGAACGCAGCGAAAUGCGAUAAGUAAUGUGAAUUGCAGAAUUCAGUGAAUCAUCGAAUCUUUGAACGCACAUUGCGCCCCCUGGUAUUCCGGGGGGCAUGCCUGUCUGAGCGUCAUUACAACCCUCAAGCUCAGCUUGGUGUUGGGCCCCGCCGCCCCGGCGGGCCCUAAAGUCAGUGGCGGUGCCGUCCGGCUCCGAGCGUAGUAAUUCUUCUCGCUCUGGAGGUCCGGUCGUGUGCUCGCCAGCAACCCCCAAUUUUUUUCAGGUUGACCUCGGAUCAGGUAGGGAUACCCGCUGAACUUAAGCAUAUCAAUAAGCGGAGGA